CUUGGGUUGUUGGGAAUUACACUGCCAGCUCAUCAGUUAUCAGGCAUAAAGAGAGGUUACAAACCUUGGCCUGCACUAUCUAAUUCAGCUAUUGGAGCUAAUAUUUCCCACAUAUUUUCUUCACACUGAUUUCGUUCCUUUGACCCACAGGCCCUGAGGAAUGCACCCAGUGUGGGAAUGUCUUCAACCCUUUCAGCAAUGCAUUCAUCAAAGUUCCAAUGGGCUGUUCUGCAAUGUCUUAAUGUCCAUGAAGUCUCAUUUAUCAGUAAGACCCAGUACACCACUGAAGAGCAAAUCCAGGCUGAUGACUUCCCCUGUGCAUCCUAGGACUGCUUGUGAUGUGAACCCAGCAUCCAUCACCAUUGCCUCAUGUAGGAUGUCUACAGGUGUCCCACAUUAGAAGAAGCAACAGAAUUCAUUAACAAAAAAAAAAAGAAAAAUGGGAAGCACGCAUUAUUUCCUUUGGUUUUAGUGAUGCACCCCAUCUUCUUUAUUCACUUUUAGAUUGCAGAACUAUACAUCACAACGUCAGUUCAUUAAAAAAGUGAAUAUUCUCUCCAAAAAUCUAAAUACUCACACCUGAGCAUGUGCCAGAUGUGUUUACAUCAGGCUCCUAUGUCAUCCAGCUGAAUACACUAUUUACAUCCAGAACUGCCUUCUUCAUAAUGAACGUCCUUGAAAAUGUUGUGAUAAUAUUCUCCAGUGGAAAAAAAAAAAUUGACUACAUAUAAAUUUCUACUAAACAAGUUUCUUAGGAAGCAAUUUCAUGAUGGGAGAAGAAUCUAUUCCCCACCAGCUCUAAUGUUUACUUCAUCACAGGCAGAGCCAUCACUUAAAAUUUCUCCCCAAGGCAUCAUAAAUAAUGCCACAACACACUGCUCCAUUUUUUAGCAUCAAAAAUUCAAGACACAAAUGGCAGAGGCAGUGGCCUUUGUGAAUGCUAAGAUUUGUUCCCUUAUAAAGCUUAGUUAUUACCAGGUAUUCUCAGAAAGAUGUUAUCACUGUAUCAUGCAAUUACAGGACUUUAUGUGAUGGCAGACUACUUUACAAGAAGAGCAUAUGGAAAAUACAAGAGCAGAUCUAUUGAUUUGAAGAUGCUUUUGAUUAAAGCACUGAAGCUGGCAUGACACUUCUCAAGCCUUUGAGACUAUCUAUGUUUCAGAAAUAUCACAACACAGACAUUUUCUGACAGAUUCUGUUUUGGAUUGGUAAUAUCCUCCAUAAAUCUGUGCCCAGAAUCCAGUGUGCACCAAGAUCUUGAAAUUUGAUGUCAAGGACUGGGAAACCACAAGAGUUUAGAUAGAAGAGAAGAACUGCUAAAUUACAGGAAAAUCUCCAAACAUGGGUUAUCUCAUGCUCCAAACGAUCCCAUUUAUUUUUGCAGCAUCUUUGGCCCUCGUGUUCCUUUACAGAUGUUGUGGCAACAUUUUUAGUUCUUACAUGGGCUAAACUAGUUUCUGUGGUCUCAGAUCUCUGCUUUAGAAGAAAAUACAUAAAAUAUCAUGGUUGAGAAAGCCUGUUAAUAUUAUUAUUAAGUAAUUGAAAAUACAUUAUUUAGUUUCAAAUAAUGUCACUUAACAACUUAUAUAGCUACUUGGUAGAGACAAAGCUACACUGUACAAAGAAUAAAUGCAUUUUUUGCCUCCUGUUGUAUCUCUAC
ensembl:lncRNA